AUCUAGUUAAUGUGUCCCAAAUAGGACGAAACGCGAGUCAAAUUGGAU
rnacentral:hammerhead_ribozyme from 1 species